rnacentral:rRNA from 1 species
UGGGGAAUAUUGCACAAUGGGCGCAAGCCUGAUGCAGCCAUGCCGCGUGUGUGAAGAAGGCCUUCGGGUUGUAAAGCACUUUCAGCGAGGAGGAAGGUGGUGGACUUAAUACGUUCAUCAAUUGACGUUACUCGCAGAAGAAGCACCGGCUAACUCCGUGCCAGCAGCCGCGGUAAUACGGAGGGUGCAAGCGUUAAUCGGAAUUACUGGGCGUAAAGCGCACGCAGGCGGUUUGUUAAGUCAGAUGUGAAAUCCCCGGGCUCAACCUGGGAACUGCAUUUGAAACUGGCAAGCUAGAGUCUCGUAGAGGGGGGUAGAAUUCCAGGUGUAGCGGUGAAAUGCGUAGAGAUCUGGAGGAAUACCGGUGGCGAAGGCGGCCCCCUGGACGAAGACUGACGCUCAGGUGCGAAAAGCGUGGGGAGCAAAACAGGAUUAGAUACCCUGGUAGUCCACGCUGCAAAACGAUGUCGAUUUUGGAGGUUGUGCCCUUGAGGCGUGGCUUCCGGAGCUAACGCGUUAAAUCGACCGCCUGGGGAGUACGGCCGCAAGGUUAAAACUUAAAGGAAUUG